rnacentral:rRNA from 1 species
AUUGAACGCUGGCGGCAUGCCUUACACAUGCAAGUCGAACGGCAGCACGGGGCAACCUGGUGGCGAGUGGCGAACGGGUGAGUAAUGCAUCGGAACGUACCUUUCAGUGGGGGAUAACGUAGCGAAAGUUACGCUAAUACCGCAUAUUCUGUGAGCAGGAAAGCAGGGGAUCGCAAGACCUUGCGCUGAUUGAGCGGCCGAUGUCAGAUUAGCUAGUUGGUGAGGUAAAGGCUAACCAAGGCGACGAUCUGUAGCGGGUAUGAGAGGAUGAUCCGCCACACUGGAACUGAGACACGGUCCAGACUCCUACGGGAGGCAGCAGUGGGGAAUUUUGGACAAUGGGGGCAACCCUGAUCCAGCCAUGCCGCGUGAGUGAAGAAGGCCUUCGGGUUGUAAAGCUCUUUCGGCCGGGAAGAAAUCGCACGGGCUAAUACCCUGUGUGGAUGACGGUACCGGAAUAAGAAGCACCGGCUAACUACGUGCCAGCAGCCGCGGUAACAC